GAUGAAGAACGCAGCGAAAUGCGAUAAGUAAUGUGAAUUGCAGAAUUCAGUGAAUCAUCGAAUCUUUGAACGCACAUUGCGCCCCCUGGUAUUCCGGGGGGCAUGCCUGUCCGAGCGUCAUUGCUGCCCUCAAGCACGGCUUGUGUGUUGGGCCCCGCCCCCCGGCUCCCGGGGGGCGGGCCCGAAAGGCAGCGGCGGCACCGCGUCCGGUCCCCGAGCGUAUGGGGCUUCGUCACCCGCUCCGUAGGCCCGGCCGGCGCCCGCCGGCGACCCCCCUCAAUCUUUUCAGGUUGACCUCGGAUCAGGUAGGGAUACCCGCUGAACUUAAGCAUAUCAAUAAGCGGAGGA
rnacentral:misc_RNA from 1 species